GGCUUGGAAUUCGCCGAGAAGAUGACCAUGUUCGGGAAGCCGCCGCCGCUUUCUCCGGCGGUGGUUUCAUGCCCUCUCUCAGCCUACUACGCAGUUCGCCGAUCCCUCUUCCGCCUCCCCCGCCAGAGAUCAAUGAACAGCUAGACACCAAUGAGAUGGAAGGAAUCCUCCCGGCGGAAGCGGGCACCGCAACAAGCACCCGGGGUUGCUAUGCAUUAGCUGCUCCCUGAUCUUCCAAGGUUCCUUAUAAGAGUGGCAACUUCAUGGAGAUGCCCGCAUAG